rnacentral:tRNA from 1 species
GGGGCCGUAGCUCAACUGGUUAGAGUACCGGACUGUCGAUCCGGACGUUGCGGGUUCGAAUCCCGUCGGCCUCG